ensembl:snRNA U2 U2 spliceosomal RNA
UUGGCUUCUUGCCCUUUUGGCUAAGAUCAAGUGUAGUAUCUGUUCUUAUCAGUUUAGUACAUAGACAACACUACAAGCUUGGUAUCAAUAUUACCCCCAUUUUAUGAUAGAUAAAACAUGGGCUUAAACGAAAGGUUUUAAAAGUGGUUGGCUAUCACUCAGUCUACCAGUACUGGAC